ACUGCUCAGUAACACGUGGAUAACCUGCCCUUGGGUCCGGCAUAACCCCGGGAAACUGGGGAUAAUUCCGGAUAACGCAUAUGUGCUGGAAUGCUUUAUGCGUGAAAUGGAUUCGUCUGCCCAAGGAUGGGUCUGCGGCCUAUCAGGUAGUAGUGGGUGUAAUGGACCCACUAGCCAACAACGGGUACGGGUUGUGAGAGCAAGAGCCCGGAGAUGGAUUCUGAGACAUGAAUCCAGGCCCUACGGGGCGCAGCAGGCGCGAAAACUUUACAAUGCGGGAAACCGUGAUAAGGGGACACCGAGUGCCAGCAUCAUAUGCUGGCUGUCCAGGUGUGUAAAAUACACCUGUUAGCAAGGGCCGGGCAAGACCGGUGCCAGCCGCCGCGGUAACACCGGCGGCCCGAGUGGUGAUCGUGAUUAUUGGGUCUAAAGGGUCCGUAGCCGGUUUGGUCAGUCCUCCGGGAAAUCUGAUAGCUUAACUAUUAGGCUUUCGGGGGAUACUGCCAGACUUGGAACCGGGAGAGGUAAGAGGUACUACAGGGGUAGGAGUGAAAUCUUGUAAUCCCUGUGGGACCACCUGUGGCGAAGGCGUCUUACCAGAACGGGUUCGACGGUGAGGGACGAAAGCUGGGGGCACGAACCGGAUUAGAUACCCGGGUAGUCCCAGCCGUAAACGAUGCUCGCUAGGUGUCAGGCAUGGCGCGACCGUGUCUGGUGCCGCAGGGAAGCCGUGAAGCGAGCCACCUGGGAAGUACGGCCGCAAGGCUGAAACUUAAAGGAAUUGGCGGGGGAGCA
rnacentral:rRNA from 1 species